rnacentral:rRNA from 1 species
GAUUAGAGUUUGAUCAUGGCUCAGAUUGAACGCUGGCGGAAUGCUUUACACAUGCAAGUCGAGCGGCAGCGCGGGGGCAACCCUGGCGGCGAGCGGCGAACGGGUGAGUAACAUAUCGGAACGUACCCAGUCGUGGGGGAUAACUAUCCGAAAGGAUAGCUAAUACCGCAUACGACCUGAGGGUGAAAGCGGGGGACCGUAAGGCCUCGCGCGAUUGGAGCGGCCGAUAUCGGAUUAGCUAGUUGGUGAGGUAAAGGCUCACCAAGGCGACGAUCCGUAGCUGGUCUGAGAGGACGACCAGCCACACUGGAACUGAGACACGGUCCAGACUCCUACGGGAGGCAGCAGUGGGGAAUUUUGGACAAUGGGGGCAACCCUGAUCCAGCCAUUCCGCGUGAGUGAAGAAGGCCUUCGGGUUGUAAAGCUCUUUCAGCAGGAACGAAACGGUGGUCCCUAAUACGGGCUACUAAUGAC